rnacentral:rRNA from 1 species
UCCCGGCGGACGGCUGAGUAACACGUGGCCAACCUACCCUCGGGAGGGGGAUAACCCCGGGAAACUGGGGCUAAUCCCCCAUAGGUGAGGUGUGCUGGGAUGCCCCUCACCGAAAGGGUGCGGUCCCAUGCUGACCGUUACCGCCCGAGGAUGGGGCUGCGGCGGAUUAGGUAGUUGGUGGGGUAACGGCCCACCAAGCCGACGAUCCGUAGGGGCCGUGUGAGCGGGAGCCCCCAGAAGGGCACUGAGACAAGGGCCCUAGCCCUACGGGGUGCAGCAGGCGCGAAACCUCCGCAAUGCGGGAAACCGUGACGGGGUGACCCCGAGUGCCGGAGGGGGAAUCCUCUCCGGCUUUUCCCCGGUGUAAACAGCCGGGGGAAUAAGCGGGGGGCAAGGCGCGUGGCAGCCGCCGCGGUAACACGUCGCUCCGCGAGUGGUACCCGCGAAUAUUGGGCCUAAAGCGUCCGUAGCCGGUCCGGUAAGUCCUCGGUUAAAUCGGCGGGCUUAACCCGUCGGCUGCCGGGGAUACUGCCGGGCUCGGGACCGGGAGAGGCCGAGGGUAUUCCCGGGGUAGGGGUAAAAUCCUGUAAUCCCGGGAGG